UACGUAGGGGGCGAGCGUUGUCCGGAAUUAUUGGGCGUAAAGAGCUCGUAGGCGGCUUAGUAAGUCGGCGGUGAAAUACCGAGGCUCAACCUCGGCACUGCCGUCGAUACUGCUAUGGCUAGAGUUUGGUAGAGGAGAACGGAAUUCCCGGUGUAGCGGUGGAAUGCGCAGAUAUCGGGAGGAACACCCGUAGCGAAGGCGGCUCUCUGGGACGGUACUGACGCCGAGACGCGAAAGCGUGGGGAGCGAACAGG
rnacentral:rRNA from 1 species